AAUACUUUGUAAAAAUUUUAUGAACAUUAAACGAGCUAAAUUAAUUUUAGUGAAGGUGUUGGGUACCACCUUAAGGCCCUUCAAAAUGUUCGUCAAACGAUGAAGACGAUCAGAUCAUGACUUUUCGGUUUGAAUAUAUAUUUUAAAAGUACGAAAAUGUAAAAUAGUGUAAGGAGAUUUUUAGCCAUCUCACUGAUCAGUAGGCUACACAGUGCCCCCAAAUGAACAGUGUAAAACUAUCCAGCAAGAGAGAAAAAAAUAGGUCGAUAUAAGAAACUACAAACAAGGCAAUUCAGUUCAAUUUCAAUAUAUACAUGUAGAUUAUUCUAAUGAAUUUGUCAAAUGUCAGAGGGAAUAUCUUUUUAAAUGUGGUAGGAAUAACAAUGAGACAACUCUCCAUGAAGUAUUAGACACAGUGUAGUCAAAAUUACCAGUUAUAGGUUAUAAUACAGCCUUCAUAGCAAAGGAUUGGGUCACAUUGGACAGCAUCCUACUAAGGGCACCAACACACUGUUAUAAAAAACAAUUAAAUAUGAUUUAACUUCAAACCAGAAAAAAAAACCAGAAAAAAAAAGCAAAUAUGAACUGCGCCAAAAAAAAAAUAAAAGAAGACAACCACUAAACAACAUGCUUCUGACUUGGGACAUGAGCUUAUGAAUACACCUGGUAAAAAUUUACAUACAUACCAUUAGCCAGUAGUGUAACUUUACCAUGUGAAAGACACCCUUUAAAAGUUAAUGAACAAAUCGUGUUCAGAUAGAAAAAAAAAGGGUACAACAGUUCAUAAAUGUGGCCUUUAAACAAACUUAUAUUUAGAUGAUAGUAUUCAGUGGUAAUUUCAGGUUUGAUCAUGUUAGUUUUUUUUUUUUUUUUUUU
rnacentral:lncRNA from 1 species